rnacentral:lncRNA from 1 species
CCCAGCUUCUGUUGCGGCAUCAGGGCUUCUGUCAUACUUCAAUGUGUCAUGCUGUCUUGUCACAGAACUAAUCAUUUGACCUAGAACUCCGCCAUGAGCCCGCGCCGGCCGCCGAGCCCAGGGCCGGGCCGCCUACCACGGGCGAGAGGCGGCCCCGCGUCCGCGGCGGGGAACGGCGGCGCCUCCCGACAGCGGCGGCGACAGGGCCUCGCUCUGGGCCGGACUCCGCCGCACAACUUCCGGAGCACGGCGGGAACGCCUUCCGGGGCGGCCCGGCCCCGCCAAGCCGAGCACGGACUCGCUGCCGCUCGCCGUAGGUCCCUCGGCCGGCGCCGGCUCGCAGGCCGACGGGCGCGGCGAGCCCGGGGCGGAGCGGCUUCGCAGCCUGCAGUUGAACGUGAAUGUCUGUGUACUUAAUGUCACACACGCGCAAACCGAAGGCUUUGCCCGCGGUGACCUGCGCAGAGCCCUCACCUUCCUCCGGGGUGGUGCUGGAAGCGCUUCCCUCCCGCUGCGUCCGCCUUCUGCAGUCCUGUUCUGGCUCCAGGCCUCUCCACCCGGCAGCGCCCGGCUCUUGUGAGCUCACAGAGCUGCUCCGUGCGUCCUGCCUUCCCAGCAGCGUGUGACUGCUGGUAGGGUUGUUGCAGCCACCUGAAGUCUCUCGGCAAGGAGGUGGGAGCGUCUCACCUUGUCGGGGCUAAUCUUAGGUCCUCUCUCCCGACAGCGGCCACAGCAGUGCUCCCCUACCCGGCACCACCUGUAGGAGUGUGGGAGCUGGAGAAGUGAAUGCCUUGCAGGGAUUUUCACCGGCUGCACGAGCUGGAAAGCUGGUGAUGCCUGCAAGGGAGUGGGAACACGGCUGUUGUUCAGGGCUUGUGCCGUGGCAGCUGCUGGCUGCUGUGCAUGUGAGCCCGUGCUCUGAGAUCUGGAUGGAACAAGGGUAGGGGAUGAGAUUUUGCUGUAGUUGGGUCACAUAAUGUGAAGGCACAAGCAAACGUGGUUAUCUAAUAUGCUGUAUGUGCUCAUGUCCCAUAAAUGUAGCAUCUGUCAUGGGCUACAAAGCAACACGCUGCUCUCAAGACAGACAUCUGCAGCGCUGAUGCAUCCUUUGGGUCCUUUAAUAUGCAGACUCACCUUUAAGUUGGCUGUCAGCUCAGCUGCCGUUGUUGGUCUCAAACUGUGAGUCUACAUCCAAGCAAGUAUUACAAUACUGCAGUUUUCCAUAACCUCCUCAGCAGCAUCUGGAUAAGCGAUGAAAAAGUCUGCACUGCUCUUUUCUGUUGGUUCUUUUUUUCCUGCUCCCUCUAGCUCUCAUCAUGCCUUCACCUGCUCAUAUAAGCAACUGUAUGUCAAGUUUGCUUCCAGGCUGGGUAGCACAUUGCCUCUUUGACAGUUAAGUUCUCCAUCUUCUACUGGUUGCUGGUCUUAUCUACAAUGAUUUUUCGUCAUCCCAAACGGAGAUGACUGCAUGCCCAUUGAGGUGCACUAUAGAUGCUGUUCUUUUGAAAACUGAACAUCUGCUUGCAGCUGUCUACAAAUUAUGAGCCAACGUUGCUUUAAAUCCUUUCAUGGCAUCUUCAAUUCUGUUCCAGAUCGCUCUAAAUUUUCUUUUAAUCAACUUUGAAAUCAGAGCCGACUUCUGUUUUUCCAAAUAUCUCACUCUGCUGCUGCUAAUGCCACCUUUAAAGCUUCCCGUCAGCAGUUGGCCCAUAGCUAAAAUUUGCAUAGUUACUAUUUUAGUAACUAAACAUUUCAGUGUUUACUUGGGCAUUUCAUAUACGGCCUUUUAAUAUACAGUGGCUACUGGAGGUGCUAAAUACAUGGUUUUCCGUGGCAACAGAAUUCAUCAUUCUGUAAUUCAUAACUGGUUUACUCAAUUAAAUGUUGAGCUACGUGUGCUAUUUUUAACUACUACUUAGAGCAACUCUUCUAUUAUUAAUGUCACUUUUGCCCCAUAUUAAAAUUUUCAGGUUAAUAACUCUUUUUUAUUAUUAUUUAAAAACGAGGAGGCCAUAGAAAUAUUUUGGAAAGAGUCUUUGGAGAAGAAAGGAGGUUGAACCACAUGAGUUAUGCUGUAGCUCGUGUUUCCAGCAGCUCUCAUUUCACAGUUACGGUGUCUCUCAGUGUUGGUUCACAGACUCACGUCAUUCCAGUUCCUGGAUUCUUACAAGAAGGGACCAACACUGUGGGAUUUAUCAUGGAAUUUGGACUAGCAGAUUAUUGCCCUUGUCUGUAACCUACUUUAAAAAUUAAAGACUAUUCAGCUCUGUAAUCAAGAGAGCAGCCCAAUCGUAUGUUAAAUUUUAUCAGUAGAUUUAUCUCAUUAAUGAAGUUCUCCUUUACUCAUCUUGUACUCUUAAAGCCUGGGUCUGACAAGGAAGGGACUCUGAGGGAAUUGAAUGCCAGAUUGUGUUUCUGGAGUGUCCUUUGGAAUCUAUCCCAUUUCACAUCUUCUCUGAUGGGAAGCCCUUUCUGAUCAACGUGAGUUGUGUAUACCUCAGCAUCAAUACUGAUCAAAGCCUCGAAAUAUUUUUGGAGAUGGAUACGGUUCGCAUCCUAAAUGUUUCAGCUACAAACUGAAACAUAAAGGAGUGAACGGUUUCUCCUAAAAAUAAAACUGUAGCAACAGCUUCGUGACAAAUCACAGCAAUUUGCAGUCGUUUUACGUGGUGAGGGACAAGGCCUUUGAUAUCGCUACAGGCACCACCUAACUCAGCUGUAGGUGAGGGCUGUUAUAUAAUAGUGCCUUUCAGGGUUUGUGACUCAGCAGCAAAAGCGUGUUCCUGGCUGAAAUGUGCUACAGAACCUCGCUCUCUUUCUCUGUUGUAAGACGCUACCUAGGAGUGGAAUUUUAUUCUAUCGGUUCCAAAAUCCAUUUGACGCUAACAAAAACUUAUUAAGAAAAAUGAAGAAAGUCUAUAGCAAACGUUUCAGGAGCUGCAAAACAGAUUUACAAAGAGAGAGCGCGGGGCUUAUUGUGCCAGCUGAACAGAGCAACACUGGUCACAUUCUGCCUCUCCUCAUGUGUGGCAUGCUAAGUAGAAUGACCCUUUGUAUGUCAAAUCAAGAAGUUGUUGUUUUCACAGUCAAACAAAGCCCUUGCAUACAGUGAGGGCCGUAUAGCAGCCACUUAUGGCCUGAUCUGCACUUCUUCGGAAAAGAACCUAUCCCCAGAGAGUUAAUACUAUUUUUUUUUUCUCAGAAGUAUAAAACUGAGCCAGUAAUUUAAACCAGUAGUUCACUGCUUCAUUAAUAUUUUUAUCAUUAGUUAAGUUGUCAGUGUUUCAGUUAAAAAUGGAAAAGAAAAAAAGAAAUCUAAUGGUAAGUAGAGACACGUUGCCUCUGGACAGUUUAAUUUACAUAAUGAAACCUCUCCUGAAAUGACUGCUGGAAUCUGACAAACCUUCUGUACUUAUUCCUGUGACGUUCGGGGAGGAGUGAGGCAGGAAUUACGCAGAUCACUGUUGGUACUACAGUUUCUUUUUCCUCAGAUAUAUACAUUGGCUUCAUCUUGCACCCAUGUACCUCUGUGUGCCUCUGAUAUGAUUAGAGGAUUCAUGAGCUUUAAGUAAUGUGCUGUGAUUGAGAUGAUGCUUGUUGCUGUGAGUACUGAUCUAUAGAAUUUCACGGAAUCAUAGAAUCAUCAAAGUUGGAAAAGACCACUAAGCUCAUGAAGUCCAACCAUCAACCCAGCACCACCAUGCCCACUAAGCCAUGUUCCUCAGUGCCACGUUUGCUCUUUUCUUGAGCACCCCCAGGGAUGCCGACUCCACCACCUCCCUGGGCAGCCCAAUUCAAUGCCUCACCACUCUUUUGGAGAAGAAAUUUUUCCUAAUGCCAAACUUGAACCUCCCCUGGCACAGCAGGAGGCCAUUCCUUCUCCUAUCGCUGUUACAUGGAAGAAGAGGCUGAUCCCCACCUUGGCACAACCUCCUUUCAGGUCAUUAUGGAGAGUGAUCUGGUCUCCCUUGAGCCUUCUUUCUCCAGAGCACACAAUCCCAGAUACUGAAGUGAGUAGCGAAAGCCUAAUUUUAAACUCAGGUAUUUUCUCUGACCUUAUUUUAGGCUAAGCUUAUUAGCUGAGAUCUUGUGCAUUUUACUCCUUCAGAUGCUGGAUACUUAGUCCCGUGCCCAUUUGAACACUGAAAGUCUCAAGGCCAUUAUUACUGCGAGUGAAGCUGUCUCUUGGGCCACCCAAGUUCUACAAAUUCAGUUUGCUUCACAAGUAAAUGCUCUGCUUAACUGAAUUGAACUGUUUUCAUUUCCCCCAACAAAGGCUGCCACAUGCAGCUCCCGUAACUCCUUGCUGGCUGCUUCCCAGGAGCAGCACCAAUGUGCUGACUGCAGAAUGUGUACAUGGCUGUUUCUAACUAGCCCAUGAUAACCAAGUAGGAUGUAGAUCUAAUUCAAGCUAAAAGAAAGCUACACUGUGUCACAAUAACAUUUGAGAACAGAUUUUGUCAGACGAAAGCAAGGAAAUUCCAUGUGAAGACGGCUGCUAUGCCCUUCUUUCACCCCCUGGUGUUGCAGUGUUUCAGGGCCUCAGAGCUGUGCACGUUUAACUGUGAAGUUUGUACAAAACAGUGUUUGAAGAGCAUCAACACAAUGUCAGAUUUUUAAGAAUUAGGCAACUUGUGCAACUGCAAAUGGACUCCCUUGCGAGCACGAAGUAGAGGGAAUUAACGACGUGUAAUCAUGCUUAAUUUUUGCAGUUUGGAAACCCUUCCUCAACCAGGACACGCAAUGGAUGCCUCUCACAGGAAAAGGCAGCUGGUUAUUUUAAAUCUCUGCAUGCAGCAUGUGCCCUUUGCCUCAUUUGUUUAUUCAUUCAGUGAGUAACUACUUGGGUAUUCUUAGGGCAUUUGUCAUUGUAUUAGUUGAUAUGUCAUUAGCAUUAGUGGGAUUAUUUCUGCAUUCUGUCUUCCAGAGGAAGAGUUAUAGCUGCAUGUUACUUACAGGGGAGCAUGGGUUAGGUAUGCGGGGGCUUUGUGCUGCAUAGCUUGGCACUGUGGCACUGAUCAUUAUAAGAUCGUGCUGCUUGGUGGAGUUGGUGGUUCUCAAUCCAGGUUUCCCACAUGGUGUGUGGUGGAGGCAGCUGGAGGAAUGGGAUCACAUGGGAUCCAAACAAGAAGCUGGCUAAACUUCUCCCUGCGAGAGAUUGGUGACAUUUGUGUGACUGCAGGCACAGCACUUGGAUUUAGUGCCAAGGAAUCUUGGAAUAUAGUGCUCUGUUGCAUCCCAUGAGCAGGGAUGGUGACUGCUGCUGGAAAACUGGCAGAUGGACUGUGCACGUUUGCCUUAGCUGCAAAUUUGGGAAUUUGGGAACUCUGGGUUAGGACCACACUGCAAACUCAUGGUGAAGAUGCUGACAAAUGGUCCAUUUUACCAACUUCACUAUAAGGGAGGUGCUUCAAUGCUAAAUGAACUGGUUAGUACAGCUGCAACGUUUACAGUGUCUCUCUUGAUACCCUCAAAAGUAAAACUGAGUCUCAAAGAGCUGCAUGGUAUAUGGUGGAGUUCACUUUUGCACAUUAGGUGUUUAUGGGUACUCCUUUAUGCAAGACACGAAUUUGAGGGGUAGGAUAAACCUUCCUUUUCCUAUAGUUUGAUAAUUAGAAAACCCAAAACUUCAGCUACCUGGUUUUGGUUUCAUCCUCUAUCUGUGAAAAUAUAAAUUCCUAUUUUCCUUCACCUGGGGAGUGCUAUAAGCAUCAGACAGUUAUUACUGCUUCCUUAAACCUACCCACUGACAUUAUGUAGUUGUGACUGACUAUGCCAGACCCUUAGGAACAGGACUGGGUUGUUGGGAAGUACAUACUGAAGCAGUCACUGAAAUGAGAAUUCAUGGAAUGUGAGCACCUCAUAGCUGGAAAGCAGCUGGGUGAGUGUUUAAGGAUCAUAAAUGUUCACUUUCAGUAUUGGAGACCUCUGACUGAUGUAGUCUUGUCUCAGGUCAAACAAGCAGAUCAGUGACAGGGAGCUGGGGUGAGGCUUUGGCAUAUAGACAAGUACGUCAGACCAUGGAAAAAUCAACAUCGUUCCUUGUAGAUAGAAAAAGCUUUGUCAUUAUGAAGUCCUUUGACAAAAUGAGCAAACUGAUAAACCAGGGUGAUAAAAUGAUUUCAAAAGAGCUUUUGGCACAAUUCCACGCCAAUGCUGCUAAAGAAAGUUAGCAGUCAUAUGUUCAGAGGGAGGGCUGUCUUGUGAAUCGGUAACUAGCUGAAGGAGAAGGGUUAAUGGGAAGCAAUAAAUAGUCAUUUUUUACACUGCGGGAAAGUUACGAUCAGACUCCCACAAGGAUUCAUGCUGGGGCCUGCACUGGUUGGCAUGUUCAAAAUGGUCUUGGAAGGAAAGCGAGUGAGGAAGAAGCACAGUUUGCUGCUGAUGCAAAAUCCCAUACAGUAGAGGAACAUUAAGCUGACAGUAAGGAGCUUUGGAAGGAUCCCAUCCUGCUGAGCCUGGGUGUGGAACUAGAGGCUGAAAUUCAGUCUCAAUAAAUGUAAAGAGAUGCAUAUGGGCAAAGCCAAUCUUAAUCAUGAGUGUGUAGUUCUACAAGUGAUAUUACUGCAGAGGAAGGAGUUCCUAAGUGUCUCUGUAGGUGGUUCUUUGGAAACUUCAUUGCCAGCUCCAAGUAAAAAGAAAUAUCAGGAAUUAUUUGAAAGGGAAGAUGGAAUGGAGCAAAAAGCGUUGUGAUACCUCUGUGGGGAUCAGUUGUAUGGCUACAGCUAGAAAACAGCAUAAACUUGGUCUUCCCAUGUCAGGAAGAAGGUGAAUGCAGCGUAGACAAUGGUUUCUGGUUAAGACAUGAUUGCCAGCACCAGAACUUUUCAGAUUGAAGAAGACCAAGUGGACAAUGUGUGGGUGAUUGAGGGUAAGCGACUGAAUUGUGGAGAGGAGGUAGGGAGCUGUCAUAAACUUCUAGCAAGUGGUAAUAACAGAGAACUGGUUUAGAGCAACCAAAAGGCAGUGUCUUUUGCAGAUGCUCCAGAAUUCGAGUAUGGAUCUUUGCUUCCAGAAUGUAAAAGCUAAAACUAUCGUUGCUUUAAAGAAGGAAUUAGACUCAAAUGUGCUGUUGGCAGCUGGCAAAUGAAACAAGGCAAGGGAAACACUGCUAAUGUAUGGAGUUGUUUUUAUUUUAAUUUUUGACAAUGAAUGUGGUCAAGUAUGGAAGAAGUCGCCCAGAGUUGUGCAGCUGCUAUCCUGGCAGAUAUUCCAAGCUUGGCUGGACAUGGUCCUGAGCAGUCUGCCCUGCUGCCCAGCUCUGCUUUGAGCAGCUGUGUGUACAUGACUCCAUACACUAUGUUCGUGGAUAGAAGUAGAAUAUUUUGGGUCUAGGUUAACUGAUCCAUGUUAAGUGUAAGAACACGGUGGGGACAAGGCACUCUGGUGUAUCGUUAGUUAGACACAGUGAUGGGGGAAGGGCAUAGCAUGUGCUGCCAUGGCACGUAAUGCAGUUGUGUGAGCACACAUUUUCCACUUCUGGAUCAAGAAGGCAUGCAAAAAGAUGUUCUUCAUCUUCAUUUCCAUAACUAGGGUCAGUGCUUCUUAGUAUUUGGGUUAAGAUUUUCAGGUGAUAAGAUAGCCCUGUGCUCUUUGUGAUUGUUUAUGUUCUGCAACUGGCAUGCAUGGCAUGAACAAACAAUUCACACAACGAAAGUACUCCAAACUGCCCCCCACUGCUUUCCCCUCUAAUAAGAACUUUUCUGCGUAAGAUGCAGACCAUGCUACAGCUCUGCAGCUGAACUCGGUGUAUUCACAUGCAGCAGUCAUGGAAGAAGCUGAGUUCUAUAGUUUUAAAGAACAAAUGCACUUUAAUUUUUAUUCAGGCCUGCCUGCAAUUAAGCUGAAGGGUUUGCAUGUCUGCUAGUCUACAUGUGGGUAGAAAGGCAGUGAGGUUAAGAUAAUAGGCUUAAAAUGUAUUCUCAGAAAACAUUUAAAACCACAGUAGGGUGUGAUUGUAUGCAAAUAAGUAUUUUUGCAAUAGCAGAUUAAGCACCUUAUGGAAUUUGUAUGGAAAGCUGCAUGCUUGUACAUGAUGCAAAGUAUGAUUAAGCACCGGUGUGUGUGGAGUUUUUGCCUUUGGUAAAAAAAAAAAAUUAAGGCAGAUUUAAAUCAAUCAUUGGCUUUCUCAGUCUUUACACAGCGUAAGCUGUAAGUUAUGAAUGGUGAUUAUAAGAGAGAAAAUGUUAAAAAUAACAUUUCUUUUUCCCCCCUGGGUCUGCAUCCUUAAAGCGUAUGUCCUGCUGUGGUUGCUAGGCCAGAAAAAGCAUUGCACUUGCAGAAGGUCUCUGCUGUAGGAUGGCAACACAGAGGAUCUGCAACAGAGAGAAAAGAAAACUGGUGAACGAUGUCUUCCUAAUACAGCUAUUCUGGUGUGCAUUUUGUCAUCAGCUUACAGAGCUACAGAAUGUCUUACAGAGUGGUUUUUAUUGGACCACCAAGAGCACCUUUCUGAUGCGUUUCAUGUACGGAUGGAUUAAUCAUUCCAGAUUCUGGCUCUGCUGUAUUUUUUUUUCAUGCUCAGAGAUCAUUAAAAUGUCUGAGAUGCAGCAAAAUCAGAUCUAAUUGUGUUUGUUUCCAUCCAGUAUUUUUUCCUAUCUGGGUAGAACAGAUAUAUCCAUUUGUUUGAGUUAAUCUUGAUGUAAAUAUUGAAGUAAUUUGGCCCCACGCUGCCACUGUGCAGUUUGCCUGGGGAAGAAAUGCAAGAAAUAAAAGCUUCUCCAAAGAAGUCAAAUUGUCAAGUUGAAAACCAGCAAAAUGCACUCUCUUUCUGCCUUCCCAAACAGCUCUGCCUGCUCAGCAAUAAACGUGCAGAGGGAACUUGAGCUCACCCUGGCAGGGUUAUUCUCCUUUCCUGCCUCUUCAUCAUAAUUUGUUAGUGAAAGCAGUGGUCAGAGAAAGUGUAAGAUCAGCAGUUCUGAGCACUGGUGCUUCAGGCUUUGCUCUCCUUCAUCCCACAUACUCUGAAAGCACAACUUGAAUUGUGUGGAGAGCUGAGCAUUGGGAUUGAGAGAGGCAGAAGAAAGUUGGAGGACUGUGGAGGAUCCCACUGGGCCUUCUGCUGAAGGGUCCCACCCUGCUCGAGGGAGAACUCCAUUUCUGAAACCACUGCCAGACUGCUGAUCAGAGCCUGAUGUCCUAAGAGAAGAAAAACAUCAAUGUCGUUAUUUAUCCCCACUGUGUAAGGAGUAGGCUCCUUCAAGAAAGAGAGAACCUUCAAACCAACGUGAGCAGAAACUGCUAUGUGAAGGCAACGGGCUAUCCGAUGAGAGCAACUGCUCCAGCCCCAGUACGAUAACACUGGGCAUGUUCCCUCAGAGGAGGCACAGCACAAGAAAGGAUGAAGUAUGGCAAAGCAGAGUUAUUGGUAAUAGGAUGUAAAGGUGCUUGUGCAGUGUCUCGUUUUCAACUACUGUAUUAUUUUUCAGCUUUAGAACCGCCAAAAUUUGCACGUGCAGCUGGUAUGAGCAAAGUACAUAAUUGCUUGAAACGUGGGAAAUAAAAGUAGACUUGUUAAUUUAAUGGUAUUCUAAGUAAUAAAUAUUUUAGCAGAAAUAAUUAUAUUUCCCUUCAAUUACUUUCAACAACAUAGAUUUUAAGCCAAAUCAGGGACGGGAUCAAAGUAUGUACCACCAUCACUCUCUUACAUAGGAAAAUGUGUGCAGAGGAGCCUGGAGGAUGGAGACCACGGAAUUCUUCUCAGGAUGGCCUGGCUCAGGUGGGACCAACCAACUGCUAUAGGGGGAUACUCAACCCUUCUGUUUGUUCAUCCAUACUGCCUCGUAGCAGGAGGAGGGAAGGAUGACAGAACAGCUUUUGCUUUAACAAGGCAUGAAAACAAUGACUUGCUUUUAAAUUUAAGAGCCCUAAAGAAAUAGAUCUUCCAGCUGAAGUAAAAAAAGUUAAAAUUCAUGAGACUUUGACUCUUGAGGAAGCUCAUCCCGCUGUUAAGAAUGAUUGAGCUCACUUGUGGCAGAACAAACAGGGCUGGUAACUGUGGCCUGCAGUGAUCUGUGGUGGUUUUUCCUUCUCUC